UAGCAGCAACAGUAACAGCAGUAGUGACAGCAACCAGUCAUAGAGGAAGUCAGGGACCCUGAAUGGAGGGACUGGCUGGAGCCAUGGCAGAGGAACAUAAAUGUAACUACAUGAUAACAUCAAAAGCCAUAAGAUAGAGAAAGGAUAUUACCAAGAAACUUACCAUUAACUGGCUUGAUUCAACAAUGAAAACAAAAAUCGCCUUUUUUCUCCUUUCAUUAUGGCUUAAAGCUUUCAAUUGCACAAACAAAAUAAAUUAUAUGACAGGAAGUA
rnacentral:lncRNA from 10 species